rnacentral:tRNA from 1 species
GAGAGAGUGGCUCAGUGGUAGAGUGUGUGCUUAGCAUGCACAAGGUCCUGGGUUCAAUCCCCAGUACUGCCA